GAUGAACGCUGGCGGCGUGCCUAAUACAUGCAAGUCGAGCGAACGGACGAGAAGCUUGCUUCUCUGAUGUUAGCGGCGGACGGGUGAGUAACACGUGUAUAACCUACCUAUAAGACUGGGAUAACUUCGGGAAACCGGAGCUAAUACCGGAUAAUAUUUUGAACCGCAUGGUUCAAAAGUGAAAGACGGUCUUGCUGUCACUUAUAGAUGGAUCCGCGCUGCAUUAGCUAGUUGGUAAGGUAACGGCUUACCAAGGCAACGAUGCAUAGCCGACCUGGGAGGGUGAUCGGCCACACUGGAACUGGGACACGGUCCAUGCUCCUACGGGAGGCAGCAGUAGGGAAUCUUCCGCAGUGGGCGAAAGCCUGACGGAGCAGCGCCGCGUGAGAGAUGAAGGUCUUCGGAUCGUAAAACUCUGUUAUUAGGGAAGAACAUAUGUGUAAGUAACUGUGCAGAUCUUGACGGUACCUAAUCAGAAAGCCACGGCUAACUACGUG
rnacentral:rRNA from 1 species